CUCUCCCACAGCUUGGGUGAUGCCUGGGUGCUGACUCUGCACCUGCCCGGGAAGCUGAAGGUGCACCAGAGGCGGUGGAGGGGGGGGCUCGGGCUGAGGGAGGAGCCUGAGGACUCCCUGGGGCCCCCGGGGUGGGGGGGAUGCACGGCAAAGGGGGUGGGGGGUGAGGGGAGGCUGCGCUCUUCCGCAGCCGGAGCUGUGCCACAGUGCGCGCGGCCACCUGUGUCAGACCUGGAAGCUGGAGAAGCCCGGGGCCGGGCUGGGGCGCAGGCCUGGGUGGGGGAAGGAUCACGGAGACGGCCUGCACCACGCACCCUAGGGGACGCUGCCCACUGGGAGGGCCCAGGAGACGUGGGAGGGGGUUCGCAUCGCUGUGCCCUUGGCCACGCCAGCCACUGUCCCCAGCCACUCAACCGCAGCUCACAGAAGGAUCCCAUUUCAUGUGUGUGUAGUCUCAGAAAAACUAUACUAACUUCUGUUGAAACCAUUCAAAGCUAAGGACACAAACCUUCAGCAAUGUGAGAAGAUAUUGUACAGUAUAUUUUAAAUCUAUGAAAUUCAUAGUUCUGACGCUUUUGGCCUCCGAGCAUCAUUUUAUCACUUCUAAAAAAUAUUUAUUCCAAACAGCUUUAAUGGCUCAUAUGUACACUCUGUAAUCUCAAGGUUGUUGUUCUGACACCAGCUUGCUGGUAUGAUUUCAGAGUACAUAAGUAAAGGUGCUUUUUAAAAAGAUUUUAUUUAUUAAAAAAAGGCCAGGGGGAGUUAUUAUUAUAAUUUUUAAUAUUUUAUUUAUUCAUGAAUGAAUCCCCUGAAUGAACCGC
rnacentral:lncRNA from 12 species